rnacentral:pre_miRNA from 1 species
AAGCUGAAUUUGAGACCUGGAUGGGACCAAAUCUUGAUCUUGAGUACCAGCCACUGGCCAUUGCACAAAAUUUGGUUCCCUCCAGUAUCUCAAUUUCAACUG